UUUUGGCUUCUUUCCCUGGAAUAUGGAGUAGUAACUGUAAUGGAAAGAGAAUACAGAACAGGACGGAACCUGGGCUUCUGUUGCACCAGGUUCUAGUUGCCAGUGGUGCUGAAUUGCUGGAGCCACAUCUCCUGACUCUGAGACGUUGUGGCAGCAGAAGAGGCACUGCAGAGCCCAUGGUGACAGCUCCUGACGUAUUUGCUGUGCUGGUGCACAUUCACACUGGUGUUUUGCUUGUAGCUACCCAUCAGCUGAAGCCUGCAUCACUUGGAGAGACAGUCUCCAAGCAGGGGACAAGCUGGGUUUUGCCACCUCAUGUCAAGCUCAUGCAUGGCUCUUGUUCAAAGCUGUGGCAGUAAAUGGCAGCUUCUGCUGA